UGGGGAAUUUUGGACAAUGGGCGAAAGCCUGAUCCAGCAAUGCCGCGUGUGUGAAGAAGGCCUUCGGGUUGUAAAGCACUUUUGUCCGGAAAGAAAUCCUUGGCUCUAAUACAGUCGGGGGAUGACGGUACCGGAAGAAUAAGCACCGGCUAACUACGUGCCAGCAGCCGCGGUAAUACGUAGGGUGCAAGCGUUAAUCGGAAUUACUGGGCGUAAAGCGUGCGCAGGCGGUUUGCUAAGACCGAUGUGAAAUCCCCGGGCUCAACCUGGGAACUGCAUUGGUGACUGGCAGGCUAGAGUAUGGCAGAGGGGGGUAGAAUUCCACGUGUAGCAGUGAAAUGCGUAGAGAUGUGGAGGAAUACCGAUGGCGAAGGCAGCCCCCUGGGCCAAAUACUGACGCUCAUGCACGAAAGCGUGGGGAGCAAACAGGAUUAGAUACCCUGGUAGUCCACGCCCUAAAACGAUGUCAACUAGUUGUUGGGGAUUCAUUUCCUUAGUAACGUAGCUAACGCGUGAAGUUGACCGCCUGGGGAGUACGGUCGCAAGAUUCAAACUCAAAUGAAUUGACGGGGUCAUAGCUGUUUCCU
rnacentral:rRNA from 1 species